rnacentral:rRNA from 1 species
UACGAAGGGGGCUAGCGUUGUUCGGAUUUACUGGGCGUAAAGCGCACGUAGGCGGAUCGAUCAGUCAGGGGUGAAGUCCCAGGGCUCAACCCUGGAACUGCCUUUGAUACUGUCGAUCUGGAGUAUGGAAGAGGUGAGUGGAAUUCCGAGUGUAGAGGUGAAAUUCGUAGAUAUUCGGAGGAACACCAGUGGCGAAGGCGGCUCACUGGCUCAUACUGGACGCUGAGGUGCGAAAGCGUGGGGAGCAAACAGG